CAGCCUGCCCAGUGACUACGGGUUCAACGGCCGCGGUAUUUUGACCGUGCAAAGGUAGCGCAAUCACUUGUCUCUUAAAUAGAGACCUGUAUGAAUGGCUAGACGAGGGCUUAACUGUCUCCCCCUUCCAGUCAGUGAAAUUGAUCUAUCCGUGCAGAAGCGGGUAUAAUUAUACAAGACGAGAAGACCCUUUGGAGCUUAAGGUACAAAAUUCAACCACGUUAAACAACUCCAUAAAAAGUACGAACUUAGUGGCAUAUGAAAUUUUACCUUCGGUUGGGGCGACCACGGAGGAAAAAUAAGCCUCCGAGUGGACUGGGCCAAAUACCCAAAGCCAAAAGAUACAUCUUUAAGCCRCAGAAUAUCUGACCAAAAAUGAUCCGACUAAUAAAGCCGAUCAACGAACCAAGUUACCCUAGGGAUAACAGCGCAAUCCUCUCCCAGAGUCCAUAUCGACGAGGGGGUUUACGACCUCGAUGUUGGAUCAGGACAUCCUAAUGGUGCAGCCGCUAU
rnacentral:rRNA from 1 species